rnacentral:rRNA from 1 species
GACGUAGGGCGCGAGCGUUGUCCGGAUUUAUUGGGCGUAAAGAGCUCGUAGGCGGCUUGUCGCGUCGACCGUGAAAACUCACAGCUCAACUGUGAGCUUGCGGUCGAUACGGGCAGGCUCGAGUUCGGUAGGGGAGACUGGAAUUCCUGGUGUAGCGGUGGAAUGCGCAGAUAUCAGGAGGAACACCGAUGGCGAAGGCAGGUCUCUGGGCCAUUACUGACACUGAGAAGCGAAAGCAUGGGGAGCGAACAGG